GUGGUCACCUUGGCAGCACAUACACUAAAACUGGAACAAUAUAGAGAAGAUUAGCAUGGCCCCUGUGAACGGGUGGCAUGCAAAUUUGUGAAGUGAUCCAUAUUUUU
ensembl:snRNA U6 U6 spliceosomal RNA